rnacentral:lncRNA from 1 species
UUCUGGGCAGUGGGCAAGAAGAACCCAGUUGGAGUAUUACAGUCGCUGGGACAACAGGCAUGUGUCACCACACCCAGCCUUCUUUAAUUUGUAAGAUGAACACAUAUUAUUAGUUUAUUAACGAAAAAACUAUAGAGCACUCUUGAAAAAUGUUCACACUUCAUUCACCUUUCUUCAAAAUACAUAAACAAAACAAAAUUUAAAAGAUAUAACAGGCUUGGCGCGGUGGCUCAUGCCUGUAACCCAGCACUUUGGGAGGCCGAGAUGGGCGGAUCACCUGAGGUCGGGAGUUCGAGACCAGCCUGACCAACAUGGAGAAACCCCGUCUCUACUAAAAAUACAAAGUUAGCCAGGCAUGGUGGUGCAUGCCUGUAAUCCCAGCUUCUUGGGAGGCUGAGGCAGAAGAAUCACUUGAACCCGGGAGGAGGAGGUUGCGGUGAGCCGAGAUCGCGCCAUUGCACUCUAGCCUGGGCAACAAAAGGGUAACUCCAUUAAAAAAAAAAAAAAAAAAAAGUUAUAACAAAAAAUUAUAUUAUUAAAUGUUAGUUCUUGAAAUAAUGAUAGGCUAUUAAGAAUUUAUAUUUCUAACGAUCAUUUGUGUCAAAAAUACUAUAUUAUGCUUGAAUUAUAUUGUAUAAAAUCCUAACACCAUAUUACAAUUCAGAAACACCAGAAGAAUACACACACACCAAACACACACACAAACACACACACACACACACACACACACCCCCCAUGCAAUUCAUUCUGCUGACUAGGAUGAGAUUGAAUAAUAAAGUUGUGAACCAAUUAUAACACUUAAUUUGCACUUUAUAAUAUCUAUACUGUGUUCAUACUAUCUACUUGAAUAUAUAUUGUUUUCAUAUUUUUAAACAAAACUACUUUUCAAAAAUGCAUUUGGAGAUAAUUUUUUAGAAAAAAACAAAUGAGUCCGGGCGCACUGGCUCAUGCCUGUAAUCCUAACACAUUGAGAGGGUGAGGCAGGUGGAUUGCCUGAGCUCAGUAGUUCCAGACCAGUCUGGGCAACACAGUGAAACCCCAUCUCUACUAAAAUACAAAAAAUUAGCUAGGCGUGGUGGCGUGCGCCUGUAGUCCCAGCUACUCGGGAGGCUGAGGCAGGAGAAUUGCUUGAACCCGGGAGGUGGAGGUUGCAGUGAGCUAAGAUUGCGCCACUGCACUCCAGCCUGGGCGACAGAGUGAGACCCCAUCUCAAAAAAAAAAAAAAAAAGAAAGAAAGAAAGAAAAAACAAAUAACCUGGAUCCCUGUCACCCUCCCCCACACCUCCCCCUUGUUAGCCACAUUCAUCAACCAUCGCAAACACACAUAACCACAUUGCAGGCUCAAAUGGAGCCAUUCUAUUAUUAUACAUAUGCUAUAGGGGAGGAAAAGCUUUAUCUCUCUAUCCUUCUAGGGUCUCCCACUGGGGCCCUGAAAAUUAAGCUAAUAAAAGACAGAUUAACAAGAGAGGCCAGACAUGAUGGCUCAUGCUUGUAAUCCCAACACUUUAGGAAGCCAAGCGGGCCUAUCACUUGAGCCCAAGAGUUCAAGACCAGCCUGGGCAACAUGGUGAAACUCCAUCUCUACUAAAAAUACAAAAAAUUAGCUGGGUGUGGUGGCAGGCGCCUGUAGCCCCAGCUACUCAGAAGUGGGAGAAUCACCUGAGUCUAGGAGGUCAAGGCUGCAGUGAGCCAAGAUCACACACCUGUACUCCAGCCUGGGUGAGAGUGAGACUCUGUCUCAAAAAUAAAUAAAUAAAUAAGAGAAAAGUUUAAUUACAUAUGUAUGCAAAGGAGUUUCAGAAAGAAAAGUGACUCAAAGAGGUGGCCAGAUAAGUGAGGCUUAUUUAUCAUCUUAGGCUAAACAAAUUAAAAGGGGUUUGGGGCUUCUGAGUCGGGGAGGCACAUUAUGGGAGAGAGAGGAGCGGAAAUAUGUAAUAAAUAAAAGUAGUCUGGUUAUGCAGCUAAGAGUCUCAGGUGAUAAGAGUUGUCUGCCAGAGUACCUUUCUUCCUGGUACAGACAUACCUUUACAAAUAGAAAUUUUCUUUAUAAAUGUAAAUGUAUUUUACAAAAGGGGAAAUGAAUACUCCACUUUCAUGCAGUUAGAGGGAGGUAAAGAGCUUUUCUGCAUCUGCUGGUUCUCAAUUGCCUUUAACUUAAAGUAAUGCAUAUGACAAAGCAGCACACUUUGAGGAGGCAUAUUCUGGCAUCUUUCAAUGCCAACCUCAAAAACAGUAAGAAAGUGACUUCUGCUUCCCAGUAAGAUGGAGUAACAAGGCCCAGGAUGACGGACAUGACUGAAAAAAUGGUGUGUAAACAAUGGUUUUCAGACAUUGGACAUCAGGCAAUGCAAGAAACUAUUCCCUGAGUGGUGAGAAACAAACCAAGUGAACCCAGAACUGCCCAAGCUUAUUGCCUGGAGAGAUUUACCAGGCUGCAGUUUAGGGUGAGGGAAACUAGAUGAAGCCCAGCCCAGCUGAAUUGAGAUGGUGGAAGUUCAGGGAGGCCAAGGCAGCUAGAGUUCACAGGGCACAGUACUGGAGAGGAGAGAGUUGCAGAGACAGAUAAAUCUGGAGAUCUGUGAAAGAUCCCUCUCCAGUCCUCAGCUAAUUAUUUAUCAGCACAUGAGUGAUUAGAGGGAACAGUCCUGGGAGAUCACACAGAUCUGGUAUGUGAAUAAUUCAUCUGCCCAACAGACAGACCAACUCACCGGACAUUAAGUGGAGUACUCAGAAGAGUAUUCUCUCAGUAGCGGGGCAAAAUUAGCCCUUGACCAAAUCCUGUUCCAGUCCACUUAGCAAAGCUUAAAAGCAAGAUCCAGAAGGAUACAGACAUUUCCAAGUAACUAACAGUGUCCCAGAACAAAGCUAGAGAAUAAUUAAAAGAAUAUUAAAAUAUACAGCACUCAACAGGAUAAAAUUCACAAUUUCUGGCAUUUUAUCAAAAAGUACCAGGCAUGCAAAGAAGGAGGAAAACAUGAUUGUGAUGGUUAAUUCAUGUGUCAACUUGAUUGGCCACAGGGUGCCCCAAUAUUUGCUUAAACAUUACUCUGAAUGUGUCUGUGAGAGUGUUUCCGGAUAAAUAUCAACAAUUGAAUCUGUAACCUGAGUAAAGAAGAUUGAUCUCCCCAGUGUGAGUGGGCCUCACCCAAUUCAGUGAAGGCCUGAAUAGACAACAUAGUUGAGUGACGGAGAAUUUGCUCUCAUGACACGACUGUCAUCAAGCAAGAACAUCAGUCUUCCCUUGCCUUUGGGCCCAGACUAGAACUGGAAUUUACAUCCACCUCUCCUGAUUCUCAGGCCUUCAGACUUGGGCUAGAACAAUAUCGUUGGCUCUCCUGAGUCUCCAGCUUGCCAACUGCAGAUCUUGGGACUCUUCUCUGCCUCUCUAAGUGUGUGGGCCAAUUCCAUAAAGAAAUAAAUCUCCUGUUUUAGCCGGGUGUGGUGGCACGCACCUGUAAUCCCAGCUGCUCAGGAGGCUGAGGGAGGAGAAUCGCUUGAACCUGGUAGACGGAGGUUGCAGUGAGCCGAGACCGUGCCAUGGCACUCUAGCCUAGGCGACAGAGCGAGACUCCGUCUCAAUAAAUAAAUAAAUAAAUAUCCUGUUGAUUCAUUCUUUUUCUUUUGAGAUGGAGUCUCACUCUGUCGCCUAGGCUGGAAUGCAGUGGCAUGAUCUCGGCUCGUUGCAACCUCCGCUUCCCUGGUUCAAGUGAUUCUCCUGCUUCAGCCUCCUGAGUAGCCGGAAUUACAGGCCCACGCCACCACACCUGGCUAAUUCUUGUAUUUUUAGUAGAGAUGGGGUUUGCCAUGUUGGCCAAGCUGGUCUCCAACUCCUGACCUCAAGUGAUCCACCCGCCUCAGCCUCCCAAAGUGCUGGGAUUACAGGCGUGAGCCACCACUCCUGGCCUCCUGUUGAUUCUUUCUCAGCAGUACCCUGAUUAAUAAUAAAAAAGUUAAAUGUAUUAUUAUCACUUCUAUUUUAUGUAAAGAAGAAAUUGAGGCCACUAGAGAUGUAACUGGUCCCAAAUCAGACAGCUAAUACAUGGUGAAGGGAGGACUUGAACCCUGAUUUUGGGUUUCUACAUUCUGUGUCCCGCCCACACUCACUGUCAUCCCUGGUUGAGUGUGAUUGUGCAGCUCUCAUGCUCUGGCCCUCCCUUUUUUUGGCACUGCAUUAUACGUUGCAUCUAUUGCAACUUCAUAUUGUAGUUUCAUGGAAUUAUUAUUAUUGUCAUUAUUUUUAGAGACGGGGUCUUGCUGUGUUGCCUGUGCUGGAAUGCAGUGGCUAUUCAUAGGCACAAUCAUAGCACGCUGCAGCCUCGAACUCCUGGCCUCAAGUGAUCCUCCUGCCUCAGCUUCCCAAGUAGCUUGGACUACAGGUGUGCACCACAGUGCCCAGCUUUCAUAGCGUUAUUCUUAAAUCCCCACCUGGCCUGCAAAGCUGAGAAGAAAGUACAUGACUUCCGGAGUUAGACAGCCUUA